AAUUACAUAAAGUUGUCCCAACAUGGUUGACAAACAAAUAAUACAAAAUAUAAACAUCAUAAAUUCAACAUAUAGUAUUUUCUAUUCUAAGCCAAAUAUGAUAAUCCACUUUCAAGUAAAAUCAAAAUUGAACAAAAUAUUUUUCAAAUAUUCACUAUUCUAAUCAUAACCAUUCAAAUAGACAAUUCAAAUGUUUGAUGGCCACUCUCUCAGUCUUAAGCAUAUAAGUUGCAGUACUAGAGGGAAUGAGUAUGUUUGAUUUGUCUACAAUUGUUAUAACUAACUGUAACAUAUUAAUAAAUUUAAACAAACAAUAAUAGUAAUAAUAAUAAUAGUAAUUACCAUGUACGCGUAUACGUAAUUUAUUUCGUGUUGUUAUAAAUAUAUUUAACAAAUGAAAAGAAAGAGAGAGAGAGAAAAGACUACAACAAUUUUAACAACAAUAACGAUUGACAAUAAAAUAUAAUAAUA